rnacentral:rRNA from 1 species
ACGGGGUGCAGCAGGCGCGAAACCUUUACAAUGCACGAAAGUGUGAUAAGGGGACUCCAAGUGUGCAUAUACCAUAUGCACUUUUCUGACGUUUAAAACGCUUCAGGAAUAAGGGGUGGGUAAGACUAGUGCCAGCCGCCGCGGUAAAACUAGCAUCCCAAGUGGCAGUCACCAUUACUGGGCUUAAAGCGUCCGUAGCUUGUUUGAAAAGUCUCUGUUGAAAUCCUGCGGCUUAACCGUAGGGCUUGGCGGAGAAACUCUCAGACUCGAGGACGGGAGAGGUCGGAGGUACUUCUGGGGUAGGGGUGAAAUCCUAUAAUCCUAGAAGGACCAACAGUGGCGAAGGCGUCCGACAUGAACGUGCCUGACAGUGAGGGACGAGAGCCAGGGUCGCGAAACGGAUUAGAUACCCGUGUAGUCCUGGCCGUAAACGAUGUUGACUAGGUGGGGUGUGUUCUUUGAGAACAUGCUAUGCCGAAGGGAAACCGUUAAGUCAACCGCCUGGGAGUACGUCCGCAAGG